rnacentral:lncRNA from 1 species
GGGAAGAGGAAAGACAGAGAUGCAGUUGCCAGCCAGAUGCAGAGGAAACAAGAUGAGAAUGCCUUACUGAGAAAAGUGCAACUGCGAAACUGAACUUCUGACAGCAGAUUCAUGGCCGGGAGAGGAGUCCCCUCCCACACCCAGCAGCCAGCUCUUCAGCAGAAGACUGCCAUAUAACAAAAAAGCCUGAGAAAUUUAGGUGUGUUUGAACUUCAUAGAAGAUGUCUCUCUGAGCCUGGGGUUGGAGUUGCAGCUCUGACUUCCUGGCUAGCAGGUAACCUGGCAAGCCAAUGUCUCCGUCAGUGAGAAUGGUUCUGAAAUGACCCAUGUGCCUCUUGACUUUGCUGAGCCUGGGAAUGCUGUGGUGCUCACAGAGGUAGGAGAAACGGGUGCCGAGACUCUGAAUGGAAGUGCAGCAUCUACAAUCCGGCCUGGCCCUACGUCACCCCUUGUCCUGGCAGCAGCCUCAGAGAGAGUUUAUUGACAAAGGAGAAGGAAGCUCUCAGCUCCCUGAAUUGAGAUGCAAACAUCGUUGAGCUGUUACUCACAAGAAUGUGAUCUCCAUAAGAACAGGAUUGGGCCAAUCAGAUCAGCUGCCAAUGGUGUUCCAUGUGACACCCACCCUUACCUAACUUUCCCCUAGAAGAUCCUGAUCAUGCUUGCUCUGUCAUUAUUGAGCAUGUGCCACCCUCAGCUUCAGUCAAGACUGUUUGUGUUCCAAUAGUAUGAUACAAUGCAGCAGUGGGGCAGAGACAGCGGUGAAGAUGCAUAAAUAGAAGCACAGCCAGAUAAAGUAUUGCUGUGGUACACUGUCUCCAUGAAAAGGUCUCCUUAGUUUGGACUUACAAAGUGAAUGUUUGGGCCUGAGAUUUUGACUGAGGAACCUUCUACUAAAACUGCCCAAGAAGACAGAAUGGAGCCAUGCUGAAAACAACAAAGGACUAUAGUGAUGAAAUUCUAGUGCUUGAAGUGGAAGACCAAAGGCAGAUUUGAAGAAUUUUCCCAAUUAGUGUGUGGAGGUGGUGAAGGAUGUUUCUGAAACAGCUUUCAUUGCUAAUCUUUGUUUCCAAAUCUGUUUCUCAGGGAAACAAGCUUGACCAUUGACUUAUUGAAAAGGGUCUCCUUAUGUAUCCUGGGUUGUACUUGAACCUACAAUGUAACCAGUUUGUCUCUGAACUCACAUUGGUCCUCCUGACUCAGCCUUGUCAGUUUCCUUUGCUGAACUUGUGACUGAGGGAUCAGUGACUUUACCUCCCCUCCUUACUGGAGCCCUUGGGAGUCAGUGGAGCUCAUUUCCAUAUUCCUUACACCAGAGUCUGAAUCAAUUCAGAAACAGUUCCCAAUGGUCAGGAGGGCAGCAUAAGCCUAUUUGUGGAUAUGAGGAGGAGGUCGCUGAGAUCUAACUCGAACUUGUAAUUCUGAACUUCUGAAAACCAUUUGUCCAGUGGUAGUCUGGUUGCAGAGGGAAGCAUUUCUGAAGUAGAUUGGCAGAACACAAGAAGAGAGUGCCUGCCUCCAAGCAUGAGUCCAGUUCUGAGAGAGAUCCUCCAGCAAGAAAGCCUUGCUUCGUGGACUGCCCUUGCUACCACAAAGAGACUGACAGACCUUCCGUUGCCUUUCUCAAUUUCCUUAUAAAGCUCAAUGGCCUUUUGUGAGUCUUGACAACACACAUGACAUGUUAUGCUCUUGAGACCUCUGAGGUAGAAUAUGGUGAGGAGGGAGACUUCCUCCUGAGCUCUUUCAUAAGAGGGAAAGCAGGCAGAGGAAGAGUGGGGGCCACCAGCCAGGGGGAUGCAUAGGUGUGGCACAAUUCCACUGUGAUGGUGUUGUCUCUGGUAGCCUUUGGUAGAUCCCUUCUCUCAGAACUUCUGGGCAUACUGCAUGUAUUUCCACUUGCCCAGAACCAUGAUACUAAGAAAAAUGUUGGGAGCAGAAUGCAGCUUAUAGAACUGUAGCCCCUCGCACGUGCUCUAUGUGACAGAACCCUCGUUUUGUAGGUGUAGUUAUAAAACAUGGUGUCCACAAGCUGAAAGGAAAACAUGCAUACUCUAUGUCCUGGGAAUGUACUGAUGAUUUCACAAGACUAGUCUCAGAAAUGGAGUUCAGUAUAUGUAGAAGGGAAAUCUCUACUUAUUCUGAACUUUUUACAUAGAAGCAUGGGACUGGAUUGGUUGAAAAUCAAAAACAGUGGCCUGGAACUUGGGAGAUGGAAACAGCAACUUCUAAGGUUUUGGAAAUGACCCUGAGAAAUCACUGUCUGCCAGUUCGUAUCCAUUAAAGAAGUUAUCCAUUAAACUAGGGGAAUCCCCCCAUCUCAGUGACUCCCACAUAAAGACCACUGAUGUCUCAAGAAUAAUAGACUGGUUGGCUGAAUUGGUGGCUACAGUUACAGACUCAAUGCAUACACACACACACACACACACACACACACACACACACACACACACGGAGAGAGAAAGAGACAAACAGAGAGAGAAGGGGUGGAAUAUGGCUGAAAAGCAUGAGAUAUCUCCACCUUUCAUUUUAUCAGCUAGUGGCCAGAGAGUUCCUUACCUGGCUUAAUUAUUUUGUUUAUAAACAUUGCCUGAUGAGAGGACUGUUAAAGUGUACCAUUGAGUAAUAUGAUAACCAGAAAUUCAAAAGGUUGACUUGUAAUACUUCACAGGCAAAUUCUUUCCACGAAUAUAAGCUUGCUGCUGCUAAGAAGGGUUUAUGUCUUUAAGACUAUGGAGUAUUAACAAGGACAUUGCUUUUACAUUGAUAUAAAUCAGCACAGAGUGUGAAUUCUACAUUUUGUAGGAAAGUCUGUACAAGAGGAAAUGAAAGGAGAAUAAAGGAAUGGCUUGAGAGGUAAUGACUGGGACUAUGAAAGGUUGCACUGUUAAGGACCCUGAUCUUAUAUUCUCCAGGAUGGUAAAUGAUGUUGACUUGGAACAUGGGAACAACCCUGGACAAUGUCCCCUUUUACAUAAAUGUUAAGGGAAGGGGAAAAAAAGGACACAGCACAAAGGAGGAUUCCAGGAAUAUACAUGGCAA